ACGGCCAUGCACCACCAUCCACUGAAUCGAGAAAGAGCUAUCAAUCUGUCAAUCCUCGCAACUGUUCGGACCGGGUGAGUUGCCCAGUGUUGAGUCAAAUUAAGCCACAGGCUCCACUCCUGGUGGUGCCCUUCCGUCAAUUCCUUUAAGUUUCAGUUUUGCAACCAUACUUCCCCUAGAGCCCAAAAGUUUUGGUUUCCCGAGGUGGCUGCCUGCCGAGUCAUGCGGAUCUAACUUCGACAGAUUGUCAUCUGGCAUCGUUUACGGUCAGAACUACGACGGUAUCUGAUCGUCUUCGAGCCUCUAACUUUCGUUCCUGACUAAUGAAAACGCACUUGACAAACGCUUUCGCUGCCGUCCGUCUUACGACGAUCGUAGAAUUUCACCUCUCCCGUCGUAAUACGAAUGCCCCCGGCCGCUCUUAUUAGUCAUUACCUCGGACUCAUCGAAGCCAACAAAAUGAGCCGAGGUCAUCUUUCAUUAUUCCAUGCAACUUUAUGCGACCAUAGGAAUGGACCGCCGUGAACACUCUAUUUUUUUCAAAGUAAACGACGCCAGGACACCGUAAGCGGUCAGUGAAGACCACCUCGGCGCACACGGCUUGUGUAGUACAGUCACAAGGAUGCACCGUCAAGUGCACCUCGUUUCUGCGGCUGAGAUCCAACUACGAGCCUUUUAACUACAGCAACUUUAAUAUAUGCCAUCGGAGCUGGAAUUACCGCGGCUGCUGGCACCAGGCUUGCCCUCCAAUUGAUCCUUGGCAAAGGAUUUAAAGUAUACUCAUUCCAAUGCCGGAGCCUCGACAGAGUCCCGUAUUGGUAUUUUUCGUCACUACCUCCCCGUGUCGGGAAUGGGUAAGUUGCGUGCCUGCUGCCUUCCUUGGACGUGGUAGCCGUUUCUCAUGCUCCCUCUCCGGAAUCAAACCCAUGAUUCCCCGCUACCCGUGGUAGCCUAGGUGGUCAGGUCGACCACCUACUAGCUGAUAAGGCAGAUACUUUUUGAAUUUGUCGCUGGUCACAGACCUAGCGAUCAGCAGCGUUAUCCAGAGUCACCAUCGACGAGACGAAUCUCGGUGGUUUCAACUAAUAAAGGCGCUCCGACCGAGGGUCGGAGCUUCGUUGCAUGUAUUAGCUCUAGAAUUGCCACAGUUAUCCACGUAGGAUUCGUACAAUCCAGAAAAUUAUAACUGAUCUAAUGAGCCAUUCGCAGUUUCUCUUUGUAUCGAUCGUACU
rnacentral:rRNA from 1 species